rfam:Triticum aestivum genome assembly, contig: Triticum_aestivum_CS42_TGACv1_scaffold_556285_7AL
AGGACAAGAUGCUAGCCAAGAACAACUUGCCGGGAAAUAUCAGCAUGGAUUCAAAGCAGGGGAUGCAUACCCUCACCAUGAAGCAUACAUGCACAUACCCGGCAAGUCAUCCUUGGCUACAUUCUGCCCUCU